rnacentral:lncRNA from 1 species
AGUAGGGUUGGACAAGACGGCCUUUAAGAUUUCUUCCAAUCCAGUGAUCUUGUUCUCUGAUGAUGGAAAUGAUUAGCAUUAUGUUAUCAUGCAGUCUUUCAGACUCAUUUAAUGUAUAUUCUAAACCUUAGUAAUGAGAGUAGGCAGCAUGGUGUAGUAAAAAAUCUAGGAACCCGAAUACAUAAAUCCUGAUUGUUACAGCUUUGUAACUUGUGGUCAAUCACUGCAUGGCCUCAGAGCAUAGUGCUUGGAACUGGAGUUGAAAAGACCCAAGUUCAAAUCUUGUUAUCCUGAACAAAUCACUUAAACUCCUCGAGUUUUGUUUUGUCAUAAAAUAGCACCUACCUCUCAGGAUUGUUGUGAGAAUCAUAUGAAAUAAUGUAUGUGAAACAUAUUGUAAACUUCAAAGCAUUAUGUAAAUUUAGGCUGUUAUAUUUAUUUAUUUCUCUGGUCCUAAUUUCCUCAUUUGUAAAAUGAAGUGGUUGGGACCAGGUGAAGCUUUUAAGUUCCUUUACAACUCUAAAAUUGUAUAAUACUUAGCUAAUUAGGUGAGCCAGUAAACAGAGUCUCCUUCCUCAAUAUGCAUUGUAUGUUAAGUCAGGCCUAACAGUUAAGAACUGUACUGAAUCCACCCCGGGAUAAACCUCAGUCUAAUGCACCUCAGUCUAAGACUUACAAGGCCAUCAUUACAAUUAAGUCUUCCAAUGGGCACGAGAAGAGGGAUUACCAAAAAUCAUGUAUUCAGUAUUGUGCUCUGACAAUUAAAGCAAGAUUGGAUUUUCUGAUUACCUAAACAAGAUCUUCCUGUUGUAGUUAGGCAGAUACCUAGAGGAAAGCUUUAAUUGUCUAGAGAUUCAAAUUAAAUAUUGGCUUGUGUUGCAGGGUACUGUGCAACUCCCUAAAGUUAACAGUGUUUGGAAGGAUAAUCACAUUGGUUAUGGGCAGGAUCAUAUUGAUUUGAGCAGGGUGAGUAAUACUGUUGUCCCUAUAUUCUCUCUCCUAUCCUGCAAACUGAUGAAAAUCAGUGAAAUCAAUGAAAAUUGAUUAGGGUAAACAUUAAAGGCAGCCUUGAGAGAAAAGAAUCUAUACAAAUGUAUUACAUUGUGCAUCCUAAAAAAAUAAUUGGAAAGGAGCCAUUUUAAACUUUUCACCCAAGUUAAUUGUACAUUUAUGAACCUCUGACCUGUUAACAGAACUCGGUAGCCUUGUUAGAUUAGCUCAAUUGUAGGAUCAUAGGUUAGAAGGGGGUCUCCGACAUCAUCCAUCCCUUCAUUUUCUAAAUGAGGAACUGAGGCUUAAAGCCUCACAAGUAGUAGUGGUUGAAUGAACAUUCUGAUCGAGAUUUCAAACCCAGGUUCUCUGGCUCUGAGUCUGAUAUCUGCACUGUACCUUACCAAACGUCAUUUGUGGGCUGGAGAAGAAGUGAAUGGUAUUGAGGACAGGGCAUGAUUUGGCCCUUUUUCAUGUGAUCUUUAGGAUGAAAUAAAGGUUCUUGCAUAAGAUUUUUUAAAAGCAGAAAUUGAAAUAGCCCAAAAGGAUAGAUAUCAAAGAUGUGGAUAUUCCAUUUUUUUUUUCUCAGAGUGCCUAUAAUCAAUGAGGAAUAAAGAAAAAUGAAAGUAUCACAAUUAUAAGUAAAAAUAAUCUCAGGAAGCACCAGUUGAUCUUUAAAGAAUUGAAUUUGUACCCAUUGGGAAAGAAAGCUACUACAAUCACCCCACUUCAAAUUUAUUAUUUUGACUGGCCAGCUGGGAAAAAUUGACUCUAACAAAACCACUGGAUAAUAAAUGCAGUUCACAUUUAUUCAGUGUGAAGAGAAUACAGCCAUAAGCUCAGGUUCUAUAACAGCAAGUUAGAUCUUGCUCUGGUAUAUUACAAAGGCAACCAUUUUGCCCAAAAGAUUUACGAGAACCCCAAGGCUAAUUCCAGAAUAUGAAAUGGAGGGAAAAUGGGAGUUCAAGAUGACAAAUUAAAUGGAAAUCCCAAUGGAACUCAGUAAUUUUUAUAUUUUUCACAAUGCAAAAGUGAUUUGAGGCCCAACAGGAAGGAAACAUGUGUAAUGCAGUGGGCCAUAUUAAGAAGAAUGAUGGACCUGAAGUUAGGGGAACCUGGGUUUCAAUCCUACCUCUGAACUUAAUAGCUGUGUGACUCUGGGCAAGUCACGUUGCUUUUUUGGACGUUUCCUUAUCUCUAAAAUGGGGGUGAUGAUAUAUGAUACCUGCUUCUUUGGAUUGUAGAGAGCAAGUAAAAUUAAUGCAUGAAGCACUCUGCAAACCUUGCAGUGCUAUAUCUACAUUAGCUAUUAUCACUUUUCUGUAUUGUGUUGAAGAUGGAGAAUUGGCUUAAAAGGCUGACCCAACAGAAUUUCAUUAAUCAGAUUCCAGUAAUUCAGGAAGUAUGAUAAUUCAAAAAUGGACUGGACAGUUUACCUUUUCUCUUUCUAAGAUUAGAAAAUUUGUGAAGCAAAUGCUGUAAAUAAAAUUGCAGGAGCUAUAUUUAACAUAUUAAAUGAAUGUGAUACCUCCAAGAAUUUUUGAAGCAUAUUUUGAAAUUGACUAGUUAUAAACCAUUUUUAUCCAUCAAAGUAGGGCCAUUUGUGCCUCUGACAAUACUGUCUGAAGCCACUUUAUGUAUUUGAAAGAAAUAAAAAUUAUUUCUAAAAAAUGCUAAGACUUCAUUUAUUCAUUCUGAUCUCUCUUCUCUCCUCAGUCUGAAGAGAAAAUUGAGUUGGGUGUUUUUGUAAAGUGUUUAUGCCUUUUCUUACAUUCUUUAAAGCUUCUUGGAAUUAGACCAGAAUUACAAGUCUGUAAACCAAUAUGCUGUGUAUGGCCUCAGUCAUAUGGUUCUAUGCAGCAGCUUAUGCAUAGAAAAAGUAGGCUUUUUAUGAUUCACCUUUGCUAUUCUACUUUAAUAGCAGUUGAGAGCCACCAGAUAUUUUUGAAUAGUGACUAAAUCAGUUUUUAAGUAAGAUUAAGGCAAUAAUUGAAGAAUACAGGCGAAAGAACAAAGAUGAGAUGAUCAAGAUUUUAUUGGAUAGUGAUGAGAGCUAGGGUGGUGAUGGUGAUAGCAGAAAUAGGAGGGGAUGGGUAAGAGAUAAAGUAUGGGGGUAGAAUGAAUAAUGUUUGGUAAUCAGAUAUGAAGAAAAAGUCAAAGUAACUCCAAUACAUAAUAAUCAUUUGCUACAAUAGGAUAUGAGCAUAUAUGUGUAUGUAUAUGUAUAUCUUGGAUUGAUUCUGCAAAUGGACAAUAAAUUAGGGCAAGAAUUGAGUUGAAAAAUAAUAAUCUAGGUUAUCUUUGGGAAACUGAAAGUUCAAGACUGGAAGCUGCUUCUUGAAAUAAAGGCCCCUCUUAAAAUGAUAGAGAUGUAUAGCUAUGAGUUCUGAAAUAACAGUCUCUGAAGAAGUUGAGGACCAGCUCAAGUGCAAUGAAGAGGUCAUAAUAAGUAGAAGCAGAUUUCCAGACAAGAGAAGCAACGUAAAGAAUAUCACCAAAGAAAUAUAUGACAUCUGUAUACUUAUUGUGUAUCUAAUUUAUAUUUUAAUAUAUUUAACAUCUACUGGUCAUUCUGCCAUCUGGGGGAGGGGGUGGGGGGUAAGAGGUGAAAAAUUGGAACUAGAGGUUUGGCAAUUGUUAAUGCUGUAAAGUUAC